rnacentral:rRNA from 1 species
UACGUAGGGGGCAAGCGUUAUCCGGAAUCAUUGGGCGUAAAGCGCGUGUAGGCGGUUCCGUAAGUCCGCUCUGAAAGCCCAGGGCUCAACCCUGGGAGGCGGGUGGAUACUACGGAACUGGAGUACGGAAGAGGAGAUUGGAAUUCCUGGUGUAGCGGUGAAAAUGCGCAGAUAUCAGGAGGAACACCAAUUGCGAAGGCAGCUCGCUGGGACGUUACUGACGCUGAGACGCGAAAGCGUGGGGAGCAAACAGG